UUCUAUAUAACCUUUAAUCUCAAAUGACAGAUUAGAAUAAAGAAAGAAGAAAAAGCCGAUAGUAAUAAUCUUGACCGGAAAAAGGUAUAAAAAACAAGCGAUUAUAAUGUCCGAAGCAACGGUGUACCUGGUGACCGAGAGCUUACCCGACUCACCUGUCUGUCUGUACGUCUGUCCGUCUGUCUGUCUUUCCGCUGCUGUAACGUCGCCAGUAAUUACAGGUGCGUGUUGACUCCCGGCCCGCUUACACGCACACACCUGCCGCCUACACACCUUAUCCAGUUAGUCAGAUCAGCCAACCAGUCAGUCAAAUCAAAUAUCGAAUCGAGGACGCGAGGCUUCGGCGUGAAUCAGCGAGGCCUUGAGUGGAGCUUCGAGCACGGCGAGACGAAGCGAAACGAAACGUAUUUUAGUUGUGAAGAGGAUGAUGAUUGUGAUGAAAGAGGAUGAUGAGGCGAUGGGGAUGAUGAUUUGUGACUGCCUUGGAAAUGCUCUGACUUAUUGUUGUAAGAAUAUAAUUAUUUCCUCAUGAGGUCAAAAUAAGA